rnacentral:misc_RNA from 1 species
CGACGACGUGGAGGACAUCGAGGAGCUGGAGCGCCGCAUGUGGCGCGACCGCAUGAAGCUGAAGCGGCUCAAGGAGCUGCAGCUGAGCCGGGGCAAGGACCCCGCGGGCGGCGUCGUGGGCGACCCGUCCAAGCCGCGGCAGUCGCAGGAGCAGGCGCGGCGGAAGAAGAUGUCGCGCGCGCAGGACGGCAUCCUCAAGUACAUGCUCAAG